GGGGGGGGGGGGGGGGGGGGGGGGGGGGGGGGGGGCGGGCGGGGGCACGGGGGCUGGCGGCGGGGGGCGAGGGGCGGACGGGGGAGUGAUACAUGGGGACAUGUCCGUGAGGGGGGGAUAGCCCGGCGAAAGCCGGGUGAAUACCGCAGACGGUCGACGGGUGACAGCGGGGGCCCUUCGCGGCUCGCGCGUUCUGGUGGGCCGAUGGCUGAUUAGCUAGUUGGUGGGGUACAGGCAUACCAAGGCGACGAUCAGUCGCGGGUCUGAGAGGACGACCAGCCACACUGGGAGUGAGACACGGCCCAGACUCCUACGGGAGGCAGCAGUGGGGAAUUUUGGACAAUGGGCGAAAGCCUGAUCCAGCAAUGCCGCGUGUGUGAAGAAGGCCUUCGGGUUGUAAAGCCCUUUUGUCCGGAAAGAAAUCCUUGGCCCUAAUACGGUCGGGGGAUGACGGUACCGGAAGAAUAAGCACCGGCUAACUACGUG
rnacentral:rRNA from 1 species